GGAACAGGCUCGGGGCCGGGAGCAGGAGCUUCGGGCGCCGCCUCCGGGACAGCGUCGAUCUCGGCCGCCGGAGCCGCCUCCAUGACACCGUCCGCCUCGGCUACCCCCGUCGAAGGCUCGGCGGGGUCCUGCUCGUAUAUUCCCGCCUCGGACGUCAGGAUGGCAGGAAGGGCUUGCACGUCGGACCCCCAGCCCCAGUCCUCCCUCGAACGGACCGUCGAGAAGUCGUACUGAGGGCAGUACCGGCGCACCUGCUCCCGGAAGUUCUCGAAGCCUCGAAGGAAACCGUCGACCGUCUCC
rnacentral:lncRNA from 1 species